AACCACCCGAAAUUUGGAAAGUGC
rnacentral:siRNA from 1 species